rnacentral:rRNA from 1 species
GACGAACGCUGGCGGCGUGCUUAACACAUGCAAGUCGAACGCUGAAGCUCAGCUUUUGUUGGGUGGAUGAGUGGCGAACGGGUGAGUAACACGUGAGUAACCUGCCUCCUUCUUUGGGAUAACGCCCGGAAACGGGUGCUAAUACUGGAUAUUCACUGGUCUUCGCAUGGGGGUUGGUGGAAAGGGUUUUUCUGGUGCGGGAUGGGCUCGCGGCCUAUCAGCUUGUUGGUGGGGUGAUGGCCUACCAAGGCUUUGACGGGUAGCCGGCCUGAGAGGGUGACCGGUCACAUUGGGACUGAGAUACGGCCCAGACUCCUACGGGAGGCAGCAGUGGGGAAUAAUGCACAAUGGGCGCAAGCCUGAUGCAGCGACGCCGCGUGAGGGAUGGAGGCCUUCGGGUUGUGAACCUCUUUCGCUCAUGGUCAAGCCGCAACAAUGGUUGUGGUGAGGGUAGUGGGUAAAGAAGCGCCGGCUAACUACGUG